UGCUUCUUCAGCGAGAAUCCGUCCCUCCUUCACAGGGAUACCCCUCGGCCGAAGUUUACGACCUUGGCAAGUACUCCUUUUUAUUUUUACCUGCCCGGCUAUAUCAGAAAUACUCAUUUAUGGAAUGGCCCAGUGAGUGGACACUAUUACCGCCUCCACUCAGCCGGGUUCCCUCUUUGCGCGGUAACCAGGAGACCUAAGGACUUCUGAGCCUGGGUUGGAAGACUUAAGAAGAUGCUUCCUGCUCUAGGAAAGCCUAGCAAGAC